UACGAAGGGGCUAGCGUUGCUCGGAAUCACUGGGCGUAAAGCGCACGUAGGCGGCUUCUUAAGUCAGGGGUGAAAUCCUGGAGCUCAACUCCAGAACUGCCUUUGAUACUGAGGAGCUUGAGUCCGGGAGAGGUGAGUGGAACUGCGAGUGUAGAGGUGAAAUUCGUAGAUAUUCGCAAGAACACCAGUGGCGAAGGCGGCUCACUGGCCCGGUACUGACGCUGAGGUGCGAAAGCGUGGGGAGCAAACAGGG
rnacentral:rRNA from 1 species